rnacentral:rRNA from 1 species
UACGUAGGGUGCAAGCGUUGUCCGGAAUUAUUGGGCGUAAAGGGCUCGUAGGCGGUCCAUCGCGUCGGGAGUGAAAAGCUGGGGCUUAACCCCAGUCCUGCUUCCGAUACGGGUGGACUAGAGGUAGGUAGGGGAGAACGGAAUUCCUGGUGUAGCGGUGAAAUGCGCAGAUAUCAGGAGGAACACCGGUGGCGAAGGCGGUUCUCUGGGCCUUACCUGACGUUGAGGAGCGAAAGCAUGGGGAGCAAACAGG